GAUGAAGAACGCAGCGAAAUGCGAUAAGUAAUGUGAAUUGCAGAAUUCAGUGAAUCAUCGAAUCUUUGAACGCACAUUGCGCCCGCCAGUAUUCUGGCGGGCAUGCCUGUCCGAGCGUCAUUUCAACCCUCGAACCCCUCCGGGGGGUCGGCGUUGGGGAUCGGCCCUGCCUCUUGGCGGUGGCCGUCUCCGAAAUACAGUGGCGGUCUCGCCGCAGCCUCUCCUGCGCAGUAGUUUGCACACUCGCAUCGGGAGCGCGGCGCGUCCACAGCCGUUAAACACCCAACUUCUGAAAUGUUGACCUCGGAUCAGGUAGGGAUACCCGCUGAACUUAAGCAUAUCAAUAAGCGGAGGA
rnacentral:misc_RNA from 1 species